rnacentral:rRNA from 1 species
UUUGGUGGCGAUAGCGGAGGGGUUCCACGCGUACCCAUCCCGAACACGACCGUUAAGCCCUCCAGCGCCGAUGGUACUUGGACCGAAGGGUCCUACAAGUCGAGCAGGGACGAAAG